rnacentral:sRNA from 1 species
AAAUUUUUAUGGCAGAGCAGGCUCAGAAGGCAGGUUAUAUACAGUUCCCGAAAUCUACCCCAUAGUCCCAGAAGUGGGACUGAUGAUGGACACACUUUAGGGAAGCCUGCCUGGCCAACUUUCUUUCAGGCCUUUUCCCUGCCCACCUAUGGCUGGGUCCAGCUCCCAUUGGGGACAAGGGCUGAGGUUGGAGCACCCGAAAGCAGGGCCUCCAUUGGUCUGGGACUGUCUACUGUGUCUGAGCAUGGGAUGGUAGGAGUGCUGUGCGUUUGAGCCAGGUCUUCCUGGGCUCUGGACCCUGAGCUGCUCCCUAGCCUGGCUCUGCUUUGCAGGGGUGGAGGUGCCUGAAGUCAUCAAGGACCUCUGCCGGCGAGCCUCCUACAUCAGCCAGGAUAUGAUCUGUCCCUCUCCCAGAGUGAGUGCCCGCUGUUCCCGCAGCGACAUUGAGACUGAGUUGACACCUCAGAGACUGCAGUGCCCCAUGGACACAGACCCUCCCCAGGAGAUUCGGCGGAGGUUUGGCAAGAAGGUAACGU